ensembl:snRNA
UAGCACUUAGAAACCAGGUUAGCACUCCCCUUGAUAAGGAUGGAAGAGGUCCUAGUGACCUUUACAAGAUGCAUAUGGUUAAGGCAUUGCCACUUACUUCAUGGCAUCUUGACCAGGACCCUGC